UCGACUUGGAGGUUGUGCCCUUGAGGCGUGGCUUCCGGAGCUAACGCGUUAAGUCGACCGCCUGGGGAGUACGGCCGCAAGGUUAAAACUCAAAUGAAUUGACGGGGGCCCGCACAAGCGGUGGAGCAUGUGGUUUAAUUCGAUGCAACGCGAAGAACCUUACCUGGUCUUGACAUCCACGGAAGUUUUCAGAGAUGAGAAUGUGCCUUCGGGAACCGUGAGACAGGUGCUGCAUGGCUGUCGUCAGCUCGUGUUGUGAAAUGUUGGGUUAAGUCCCGCAACGAGCGCAACCCUUAUCCUUUGUUGCCAGCGGUCCGGCCGGGAACUCAAAGGAGACUGCCAGUGAUAAACUGGAGGAAGGUGGGGAUGACGUCAAGUCAUCAUGGCCCUUACGACCAGGGCUACACACGUGCUACAAUGGCGCAUACAAAGAGAAGCGACCUCGCGAGAGCAAGCGGACCUCAUAAAGUGCGUCGUAGUCCGGAUUGGAGUCUGCAACUCGACUCCAUGAAGUCGGAAUCGCUAGUAAUCGUGGAUCAGAAUGCCACGGUGAAUACGUUCCCGGGCCUUGUACACACCGCCCGUCACACCAUGGGAGUGGGUUGCAAAAGAAGUAGGUAGCUUAACCUUCGGGAGGGCGCUUACCACUUUGUGAUUCAUGACUGGGGUGAAGUCGUAACAAGGUAACCGUAGGGGAACCUGCGGUUGGAUCACCUCCUUA
rnacentral:rRNA from 1 species